CCGUACGUGAAGUUACUCGGGCAUUAAGAAAUCUAUAUUUCGAUGACGCGAAAGCAGUUUGUUCGAUCACUACCGUUAGAUGCUACCGUUUUUCCUACUUUAGUCAUUUGGUUUUACCAAGAGAACCAUAGAUUUAACUGGUUAUUGCAAACUUCGCGGAAAAAUGCUGUUCCUUAUACACGGGCAUAUCACGGCUGCUUUCAGAAUCAACUUUCUAAAAUUAUUGUCCUGCCAUGUUAUGUCUGUUAUCAGCGCAUUCAGGCGCGUACACUAUAGAUUUCGGUGGAGAAAAGGAGGGGUCCGGCAGUGUUUUUGUUUUGUUUUGUUUUGUUUUAGGGUCUAAAAGAGUCUGGGGUUUGCGCGCGGGAAACCUGUGAUGUUGAAGAUACAUUUAGGCCUGGGCCUACUUUCAAAAUGGCGACCUGCAAAAUCAUAGUAAACACGAAUCCUGCAAUUCACCUUACGCAAUUCACAGGGGACAAAAAAGCGAAAAAAAGAUUCAAGCGGACUUCCAAAUAUGCAUCGAGCACGACCUUUCAAGUAUAACCGCGAAAUCUCGCGCAGUCUUGCAGAAAUAUUUCUUGGGGAGGUCGGAUGUCUUAUUUCCUUGCGCGCACACGACCGAGAUAACAGUAAAUAGGAUAAUCACCAAGAGAAUACGAAAUUGUGGUGCCAUGAUGUUUGAAUCUGAAAAUAACAGAAGGGUUAAUAAGAACUAUAUAACAGAUUGAAGGGUGCUACAUGAGGCUAUUUCGAGCUAAAAUAAGGUUAAUUUUUUUCAGAGGAGUUAAGUGUCUGGUUCCUUUGAUUGGAUAGGUGGCUGUCACUUGUAUCUCAAAUGUAACUAGUUAUGAAGCAAUCGAGCACAGAUUAUAUUAAUUUUGGCCAUUAAUUGCCGGAUAUGAGACCCAAUAGUUAUUAGUCAGACUAAAUCAAACUCGGGGUAAUGAUUGUGUCGGAUCAUACCCCCUUCCACUAUGGUAUGUGUGACAAAAAACAAAAGAAUGAUAAAUGCAUGCUUCCUUAAGUCCUUUUCUCUAAACGCUGCCCCACGCCUCCCCUCCCUACCCUCUUUUGUCUUUGCCUAUGGCUAAAAAAACACUUAAAAAAUGUCGACUGGCCACUCUUUUGUCUUUAUUAAAAAAAACACGCAAGGACACGUAAAAUAA